rnacentral:rRNA from 1 species
AGUGAACGCUGGCGGUAGGCCUAACACAUGCAAGUCGAACGGCAGCACAGUAAGAGCUUGCCCUUACGGGUGGCGAGUGGCGGACGUGUGAGGAAUACAUCGGAAUCUACUUUUUCGUGGGGGAUAACGUAGGGAAACUUACGCUAAUACCGCAUACGACCUACGGGUGAAAGCAGGGGAUCUUCGGACCUUGCGCGAUUGAAUUAGCCGAUGUCGGAUUAGCUGGUUGGCGGGGUAAAGGCCCACCAAGGCGACGAUCCGUAGCUGGUGUGAGAGGAUGAUCGGCCACACUGGAACUGGAACGCGCACCAGACUCCUACGGGAGGCAGCAGUGGGGAAUAUUGGACAAUGGGCGCAAGCCUGAUCCAGCCAUACCGCGUGGGUGACGAAGGCCUUCGGGUUGUAAAGCCCUUUUGUUGGGAAAGAAAAGCAGCAGGUUAAUACCCCGCUGUUCUGACGGUACCCAAAGAAUAAGCACCGGCUAACUUCGUG